rnacentral:rRNA from 1 species
UACGGGGGGGGCAAGCGUUGUUCGGAAUUACUGGGCGUAAAGGGCUCGUAGGCGGCCAACUAAGUCAGACGUGAAAUCCCUCGGCUUAACCGGGGAACUGCGUCUGAUACUGGAUGGCUGGAGUUUGGGAGAGGGAUGCGGAAUUCCAGGUGUAGCGGUGAAAUGCGUAGAUAUCUGGAGGAACACCGGUGGCGAAAGCAGCUCUCUGGGACGGUACUGACGCUGAGACGCGAAAGCGUGGGGAGCGAACAGG